rnacentral:rRNA from 1 species
AUUGAACGCUGGCGGCAGGCCUAACACAUGCAAGUCGAACGGUAGCACAGAGGGCUUGCUCUCGGGUGACGAGUGGCGGACGGGUGAGUAACGUCUGGGAAACUGCCCGAUGGAGGGGGAUAACUACUGGAAACGGUAGCUAAUACCGCAUAACGUCGCAAGACCAAAGUGGGGGACCUUCGGGCCGCACACCAGCGGAUGUGCCCAGAUGGGAUUAGCUAGUAGGUGGGGUAAUGGCUCACCUAGGCGACGAUCCCUAGCUGGUCUGAGAGGAUGACCAGCCACACUGGAACUGAGACACGGUCCAGACUCCUACGGGAGGCAGCAGUGGGGAAUAUUGCACAAUGGGCGCAAGCCUGAUGCAGCCAUGCCGCGUGUAUGAAGAAGGCCUUCGGGUUGUAAAGUACUUUCAGCGGGGAGGAAGGCGGUGAAGUUAAUAACUUCACCGAUUGACGUUACCCGCAGAAGAAGCACCGGCUAACUCCGUGCCAGCCGCCGCGGUAA